GACGAACGCUGGCGGCGUGCCUAAUACAUGCAAGUAGAACGCACAGUUUAUACCGUAGCUUGCUACACCAUAGACUGUGAGUUGCGGACGGGUGAGUAACGCGUAGGUAACCUGCCUGGUAGUGGGGGAUAACUAUUGGAAACGAUAGCUAAUACCGCAUAAUAUUGAUUAUUGCAUGAUAAUUGAUUGAAAGAUGCUAUUGCAUCACUACCAGAUGGACCUGCGUUGUAUUAGCUAGUAGGUGAGGUAACGGCUCACCUAGGCGACGAUACAUAGCCGACCUGAGAGGGUGAUCGGCCACACUGGGACUGAGACACGGCCCAGACUCCUACGGGAGGCAGCAGUAGGGAAUCGUCGGCAAUGGACGAAAGUCUGACCGAGCAACGCCGCGUGAGUGAAGAAGGUUUUCGGAUCGUAAAGCUCGGUUGUAAGAGAAGAACGGGUGUGAGAGUGGAAAGUUCACACUGUGACGGUAUCUUACCAGAAAGGGACGGCUAACUACGUG
rnacentral:rRNA from 1 species